rnacentral:pre_miRNA from 1 species
UACUUAGUAUAAAUAUGUCCCAUGCAAUAUUUGGGACAUGCUCAUACUAAAA